GAGGGCUGUAGCGCAGAGGUCGUCGCGCCGCCCUGCGAAGGCGGAGGACGCCGGUUCGAAUCCGGUCGCCCUCACCU
rnacentral:tRNA from 1 species